rnacentral:lncRNA from 1 species
AUAUGGCUGGAGGCUAUUUGUAAUAAAUUCCAGAGUCUUAGAAAAUGACUUCAAUAAAAUGUUUUAACUUAAAAAUGAAGUAUAUAUGUGUGCCUUACCUAUGUGUAUCGUGUGCGCUAGGGUUCUAGAAAAGUUUGAGGUAACCAUGUAGGCAUUCUGAGAGCUGGCAAGUAAACACUGUGAACUAAGUAUUGCCCUGUCACACUCGUGAAAUCAUCUAGUUUUGUCAUUUAUAGAGUGCUGAGCCAGGGUAUCUCCCAGGUUUGUGAGAAGUGCUAGGUUAUGCCAGUAUAAUGAAGAAAAAAUAUCUAGUAGUUAGACUAUAGAAGCGCAGUGAUGCAGUCUAAGCAUAUGAAAAGUUUUUCCCUCGCAUGACUACAGGAGUUUUUUUACCCCCUGUGUAUAGCUGUUUUUAUUUCUGCAUAUGAAGAUGUGAUUGGCUUAAGGAAUCAUUAACUCAAUCCCUGUUCUGUGUGAUGGAAGCUGUAGUUGACCGUCUUGUGAUUGGGCAGGACUUGGUACCUAUCAGUGUAAACACAUGGUGCGGCCUGCCCCAUGCCCCUGCUUAUCAUCCGUGGAGAGAUGGGGCUGAGGCAUUUUGAGCAAAUCUCAUUGGUAAAGUGGUGUGUGCAUUGCUUUUUUUUUUUUUUAAAGACCUGUUUGCUUUCAGUUUUAACUAUGUCCCUUUCUGCGGCAGUUAGCACUUGGUUGUCCACAGAAUAAGUUUUUGUUUGUGGUGCCUUCACCUCUGUAGGUAGAGUCAUGCUUGAGUAGUCUCUUUAGUUUAAAGAUGCUUUACCUAGAAGAUAACAGUGAAGAUGAGAAGACGGUUCAGGAAAGCUCGUUGAGUAAACCUGCAAGUGUUUACCAUGGCAAGGCCCCUCCUGGGAUUCUGGUGAGUUUCCUUCACCCACUUCUCUUUCCCUUUGCUUGAGGCUCAGACUGGGUAGCACUGAGAAGGGGCAGCACCUGCUAAAUGAAAGUGGUGAGCGCCCCUGUAAGUGGUGAGCGCCCCUCGUUUGGAAAAUGUAUUGUUGUGGUAAGUUUCUAAUUUUUAAAAUGUUACAAAGAACACAAAUCUUUGGCUGCCCGCUCUCCCCACUUGCCUUUAUGCCUUCCUUACUCUGUUCGUUAUUAUUUAAUAACUUUAUGCCUAGAAAAAAUGCGUUUGCUCUAAACUGAGAACUUGUCUACCGCUAGAUUUCAAAGCAACGUGCUGAGCUCUGUUCUUGCAUCUCAGGUGGUGGUUGAGGGGGUAGAAGUCACUUAAGUUUUAUGGGUUUUAUUGUCCUGGCAAACUCUCCUGUAAGGCUAAGCAAGUAUUUUGAAAGUGGCAUUUUGUUUGGCUAUGUGAUACAAAAGAAUGAUGUUAGGCUGUCCCUUUUAUGACUAUGAACAAACAAAAAGUAUGCCUGUUGGAGUUGGAACUUUUAAUCUAGUUUUCUCUUGCUACAAGGUACAAAGUCAAAUAUGACUUCUAAGUUUUGAGUUCUAGAAAUCUGUUAAGGAAACAAAGUCAGAUGAUGUAAAGAUAAGAUCAUUUAACUCUGCUGGUGGGACCUUAAAAAACCAAUGUGUUCGAAUCUGUCUGACUUUAAUUACAUUGGUUUUUGUUUUGCAUGAGGGUCUUGGUGUGUUGCUCAUGCUGACUGCUUCUGUGGGUUGGCCUUGAACUUACUAUCCUCCUGCCUCAGCACUCCUGAGUGUUGGGAAUCACAGUCCUGUGCCACUAGGGUUGUCUUAAAUGCUCAUUUUAAAGGCAGAGGCUAAAAAACUACAUUCAGAUAAUCAGGAACUCCAAAUGAGAGUACUGACGUUGUAUCUUCUCAUUAAAUUGCCUUGGUUACUUUUUUAAAAAAUCGAAUUAGGUUGAAUAUUUUUAUGAAAACUAGGAUGAAGUCAACAAAAUAAAAAAUGAAUAAAUUCUGAAAUCUGUUAACCUAGUUGAUUUGGGUUUUAAAGGCAUGAGAGUGCUUAUGCUGCCUUAGAAGUUUUGCCAUAUUCUGUCUGAUAUUGAUGAGGUUACCGGUGUCCACAUACAGACUUCACUCACUAGUGGCAGCAUUAAUCGAGUAUGAAUAUGAGUCAUAAGAUUCUGUGCGAGGCAAUUUUAUUUUUAAGUCUGUCAUAAUACAAAGGGUAUGUUUAUGCAUUCGUGCACGUCUGUCUUAAUGGUCAGAGGAAAGGAUAUGGGCAUACUUGUUUCUCUGUGGAAUAGUUCUAAAGUCCACUUAGUGGUACCGCAUAUAGACUGCCCAUUUCAAGGGAAUUUCUUUGAUGUUUUGCUACUGAUGUUUUCAAGGGAAGUCAGAGACGUUUGCUUAGACUGCAAUUUGUUAACAGUUCCCUCUUAUGUCAUUGAUGUGCCCUGAGUCACCACCCCACCCCAAGAGAAUUUUCUGAAUGGCUAGUGGCUGGCAUACUAGAUUUGAUAUCUGCUUUAAUAAGCUAUGAUAAUUAUUUAGGAGUUUGACUUUUGAACGAACAUGGGUGUGUGCAGUAAAGAGCCCUGGCUUUUAAAUUAACCAGAGCUCUAAGUGUUGAACCAGGCAGACAGACAGAAGGAUAAUAAGGCAAGAAGUCCUCUGUCUUCCUGACUACCAGAUUUGUUGAGGAAAGUGGUUUGGAGUCUAAACAGGACUUCCACAGAUUAAACGGACAUUAAACAGAUGUCUUCACUGCACUCCCCAACCCUGGCCCUGCCAGUGCCCAUGAUGAGCUGAGCCCCAUGGCUUCCCUCCUCCACCUCACUCCCCGAACUGAGGAGUCGCACUGGCUGUGUGCUAGCGCUGCGGAAAUCCUUGUAUCUGAGAGAGUGUUCUAAAACACCUGGACGAAGGGUGCUCUGAUAGAACCUCAGGCUGCUGACUCGGUCUUAAAGGAACUGGGACACAAUUCCCUAAAAGGUCUAAAAUCUUACCCUUCUUGGGAAAGUAUUUAAUACCAUUUAUGUAUUCUAAUCCAAUUCUACAGGGUUACAAAGUCCACACAGUAGGAAAAGAAAACUAUAGGCUCACAUUCUAGAGUAAAUGAAUUCUGUGUGUGAUGUUUUUUACCUAAUUGAAAAUAGGGCAACUUGUGUGAGUUUUCACGGCUUUCAUGUCUUAUUGUAGAACUUGUUUUCCCUCUUCCUCAAAUCCUAUAUGCUCCGGAGGACUUAUCCAAAUGUCUUUUGUAAGUCAUCAGUACUGCUGAUGGUCUUUUUUAACUGUGAUGAAAUCCUACUUGCUCCUGGGUGCCUUUGGUAGAUCAUCUUAGCUGCUGUCCAUCUGCAAGGGAGCUUCCCUAGCAGUGUGUAUGUAGGCACGCUGUAAGGGUCUGUAAGUGUGGUGGCUCCUAGGCUCAAGAGGCAGAAGCAGAAGACUGGUGAGUUUGAGGCCAGCCUGGGCUUUUUGUUAAACUGUCUCAAAGUGAAAAACAAAAUAGAGGUAAAGAAAAAAAGAACUCCACCUACAGUGAACCCUGGGGCAGCCCUGAAGGGAGUUGUGUAAUCUCAGAAGUGUUAUCACGCGCACAGAUUGACCAGCAAACAAGUGGAUCUCCAUCCAGGUCAAGGGGCACAAGAGCUGAGAUUGUGGUGGUCAUCUAUCACCUUAUAUUCCUUACUUGGUAACAGUGCAUAGUACCAUAGCCCAUAUAGGCUGACAUCCACUCAUGAGCUAUAUUGAAACUAUAUUGGAAAAAACCCAAUUCCUUCGAGGACAAUGAAGC